UAGGGAAUCUUCCACAAUGGACGCAAGUCUGAUGGAGCAACGCCGCGUGAGUGAAGAAGGUUUUCGGAUCGUAAAGCUCUGUUGUUGGUGAAGAAGGAUAGAGGCAGUAACUGGUCUUUAUUUGACGGUAAUCAACCAGAAAGUCACGGCUAACUACGUGCCAGCAGCCGCGGUAAUACGUAGGUGGCAAGCGUUGUCCGGAUUUAUUGGGCGUAAAGCGAGCGCAGGCGGAAUGAUAAGUCUGAUGUGAAAGCCCACGGCUCAACCGUGGAACUGCAUCGGAAACUGUCAUUCUUGAGUGCAGAAGAGGAGAGUGGAAUUCCAUGUGUAGCGGUGGAAUGCGUAGAUAUAUGGAAGAACACCAGUGGCGAAGGCGGCCCUCUGGUCUGCAACUGACGCUGAGGCUCGAAAGCAUGGGUAGCGAACAGG
rnacentral:rRNA from 1 species